AUGCUGUCUCUGGAAAGGAAAAGAAAGAAUCCCAAAUCAUCCACAGAUGGUACAACUUUCACUUUUCCUCUCUUAGGACCGAGGCGCGCCUCUUUCUCCCGGCUCACUCAUACCCCACCCCCGAUGGGAAGCGCAAGCUGGAGGAAGCCCCCGCCGCGGCGCUCCUCGCGCGCACCCACCUCACCGCCCGCCGCCUUCAGCGCCCGACCCUCGGGGGCUAGCGGAGUUCCUUUCAGCCCUCGGGAAAAGGAGUCGGGGCGAGGGGAGCAGUCGCCGCAACUGCUCCAAACUUCGUCCCCCGACCUCCCAACUCCGGGAGGUGAAAUUCUCCAGCCCGUCUCCGGAUGGCCGCCAGACGUUUGUAGGUGCCAGUUAAGGAUUCUCACCACUUUGAAAAAUGGUGGGAAUGGAAAUACUAUACGGGCUGCAUUUGAGAACCAGACUGCAAAGACACUGCACCAAGCCAUAUGUGGACUCUUAGUUCCUCAACCAGGAAUUGAACCCACACCCUCUGCAUUAGAAGCUCAGAGUCUAACCACUGGACCAUCAGGGAAGUCCUGCCCAGCACUUUUUGAGUUUCCAUAGAGUUAAGGGUCCACUGUGGCUGAGGAGGAAAGCACAGUUCUCUAUACAGAAGGUAGAAG
rnacentral:lncRNA from 1 species